UUGGUGUUGGCUCUUCCCAUCAUUGUGAGGCAGAAUGCACCAGGCGCUGGAUCGCUCACCCACUGAUGGGGAGUGUGAGCAGGGUUCAGACCAUCCCGAGACAGCCU
rnacentral:ncRNA from 1 species